UACAGAUGGUGCAAGCGUUAAUCGGAAUUACUGGGCGUAAAGCGCGCGUAGGUGGUUUGUUAAGUUGGAUGUGAAAUCCCCGGGCUCAACCUGGGAACUGCAUUCAAAACUGACAAGCUAGAGUAUGGUAGAGGGUGGUGGAAUUUCCUGUGUAGCGGUGAAAUGCGUAGAUAUAGGAAGGAACACCAGUGGCGAAGGCGACCACCUGGACUGAUACUGACACUGAGGUGCGAAAGCGUGGGGAGCAAACAGG
rnacentral:rRNA from 1 species